rnacentral:rRNA from 1 species
AUGGGCGAAAGCCUGACGCAGCGACGCCGCGUGAGGGAUGAAGGCCUUCGGGUUGUAAACCUCUUUUCUUGGGGAAGAAUAAUGACGGUMCCUGAGGAAUAAGUCUCGGCUAACUACGUGCCAGCAGCCGCGGUAAUA